CUUGUAAGUUGGAAAGUGUAGCAGAGGGCCAGGACAGAAGGUGGGCCAAGAGCCAAGGUGCCAUUGAGAGGGCCUCUGCUGUAAUCCAGGGAAGAGACCACAGUGUGGCAGAGCCCCAGGUUUGCUUCCUGGAGACUGCCGUUUGUACUCUGGAGCUGAGAUGAAUUCCAAGGUGGGCGUGGAGGUGAUGGGAACUAUCAACACACACUACCUCAAAAUGUGGCUCCUUGGAUUUGAGAGAACAGCAGAAGCAGAAAGGUUUUGGCAGAAAUGUGAAUAUUAGCAAGGAAACUGUGGGAUACAUGAUCCAGUCAUCAUAACCUUCUUUGGAACUGGUAUUGAUCCAGCAGCAGCUUUCAGUACUGAUCUUAAAAACAAAUAAUAUGAUUGGAUCGAUCAUCACAAAGGGAUCGAUCAUCACAAAGGGAAUUUGAAGGAUGUAUCUGGGUAAUUCAAACCGAAAACACCUAACUCCAGUUCAUUAAAAAUCAUUUCAUAUUUGUAUAAGAAUAAUUUUAAAAGAAUCUAGAUGUAGUUAUAAUUUUAGAAGUAGUCAUAUUUCUAGAAUCUUCUUUAAAUUCUUGUUAUUUGAAUAUGAAAUUAUUGUAAAUCAGUUGAAUAAAUAACUAUAUCCGUAUGAAAUUUCAAACUAAUAUGUACAUUAGAAGUAUAUUCAUUUUUCGAGAAGAAAUAUUUUUGUCC
rnacentral:lncRNA from 10 species